CAGGCCUAACACAUGCAAGUCGAGCGGAUGAAGGUAGCUUGCUACUGGAUUCAGCGGCGGACGGGUGAGUAAUGCUUAGGAAUCUGCCUAUUAGUGGGGGACAACGUUCCGAAAGGGGCGCUAAUACCGCAUACGUCCUACGGGAGAAAGCAGGGGACCUUCGGGCCUUGCGCUAAUAGAUGAGCCUAAGUCGGAUUAGCUAGUUGGUAGGGUAAAGGCCUACCAAGGCGACGAUCUGUAGCGGGUCUGAGAGGAUGAUCCGCCACACUGGGACUGAGACACGGCCCAGACUCCUACGGGAGGCAGCAGUGGGGAAUAUUGGACAAUGGGGGGAACCCUGAUCCAGCCAUGCCGCGUGUGUGAAGAAGGCCUUUUGGUUGUAAAGCACUUUAAGCGAGGAGGAGGCUACCUAGAUUAAUACUUUAGGAUAGUGGACGUUACUCGCAGAAUAAGCACCGGCUAACUCUGUGCCAGCAGCCGCGGUAAU
rnacentral:rRNA from 1 species